rnacentral:misc_RNA from 1 species
AAGUCGUAACAAGGUUUCCGUAGGUGAACCUGCGGAAGGAUCAUUAACACGUUCCAAAACGUAUCAACCAUGCGGUUAAGUGCAAACUUAUUCCCUAACUGAGGGAGCUGUACAAAUGUCUUUAGUGAUGGGCUCGAGCCCAAAGCUCCUUUUUUUAGGCUUUUUCCCCCCUUUUUCCAUCACUUCCAACUACCAUUUUCACCCCUCUGAAACUUAUGACUAAAUCUUUCGAACGAAGAAAUUUGUUUGGAAUUGUAUAUCUAACACUGUACAACUCUUAGCAAUGGAUAUCUUGGUUCUC